rnacentral:rRNA from 1 species
UACGGAGGGUGCAAGCGUUAUCCGGAUUUAUUGGGUUUAAAGGGUCCGCAGGCGGAUCGUUAAGUCAGUGGUGAAAGCCCACAGCUCAACUGUGGAAUUGCCAUUGAUACUGGCGGUCUUGAGUAUGUAUGAAGUUGGCGGAAUGUGUGGUGUAGCGGUGAAAUGCUUAGAUAUCACACAGAACACCGAUUGCGAAGGCAGCUGGCUAAUACAUAACUGACGCUGAGGGACGAAAGUGUGGGGAUCAAACAGGAUUAGAAACCCUAGUAGUCC